AUCAUCGUGAAGGUCCAAUUCAUUCACACCCGAUUAGGCUCUGACGAAAUCCCACCACCGGCGAUUGCAGCUCGCGCCGGAAAGCGGCUCUCUGUCUUCCGUAGAUUAUCAACUUUCCUGGGGAAAAGAACGCAUACGGCUUGAGUUGCUUUGUGCAGAUGGGGUGGCUCUUGGUAAUAUUUUCAUUGAUUGUGCUCUGGAUAGCUUCUCUGUGCAAAGCUCUGCGUGCACCUUCCAAGGGUUCUUUCCUAGAUGAUCGUCAUAUUUUUAUCAAGAGAAAUGUUUUGCUGGUUAUUGCUCACCCAGAUGAUGAGUCUAUGUUCUUUUCUCCAACAAUAAAUUAUCUGAUAGCGCGAAGGCAUAAUCUCCAUAUACUUUGCUUAUCAGUUGGUAAUGCAGAUGGUAUGGGAAACCUUAGAAAAAAUGAACUCUACCAGGCUUGUGCAGUCCUUAAGGUUCAACUUGAGAAAGUGCGGACUCUAGAUCAUCAAGAGUUGCAGGAUGGAUUUGGUAAAUUUUGGAACCACAGCUUAGUGGCAAAGAUCAUUGAAGAGGAAAUAUCUGGUGCUGGCAUUGACUUGAUUAUCACUUUUGAUCACUAUGGUGUUUCGCGUCAUUGUAACCACCGGGAUGUGCAUUAUGGGGUAUGCAAGUACUUUCAUGAUACUUCACGAAGAGAUAUUGAAGCCUGGGAACUAGUCAGUACAAAUUUAUUCCGCAAGUAUAUUGGACCUAUUGAUAUUUGGUUGUCUAAUUUCGACGCCAAGCGAAACCCAGGAAGGUUGACACAUUGCAUCGUAAAUGAACAUCCAAAGAAGAGCUUCCAUGCAAUGGCACAACACUCUAGCCAGUGGGUUUGGUUCCGCAAGCUUUUUGUAUCACUUUUCAGUUAUACGUAUGUGAACACGCUCAGAAAGAUUAACAAGUAGACGCAAACAUUAACGGAGGAUACCUCAAUCAUCUGUUCGACUCUCUUGGACAAGUCCCUUGGACGAGAAUUCGCGUUUGCUACAUCCCCUAAUAGUUUUUUACACAUUUUGCCAGCAUCAUGAAGUGUCAUUGGAAUGAGAACUUCAGGACCAGAUAAAUCCCUCGCAUACAGAUUCCAGUAAGGCAAACUGACCCUGUCUAUUAUUCAUGGAGCCGCGGAAGGAUAAAUAUAAGAGAGCAGUGCACAUAACAUCAGGAACUUUCACUCUGCCAGCAACAAUGAUGGGGAAAUGCUACAUCCAUUAUAAACAAUCCCCAUUUCCAGAGAAAUUGAAGGCUCAAGAUAUCAAAAUGGGCUUGCAGAAAUUUUGAUCACACGCUAAUCCAUUUUGAUCCCCAGCCAAAUAUGCCCUUCUGAAAGUUGGAUGGGCGUAAAUUUUGGGCCGUCAAUGCUUACGACAGAUAAGAUUAAGCCGAAAUCAUGCAGAUAGUGUAGAAGUUUAGAGAAGGAGAAAGCAACACAAGAAGAGUUUAUUUCCUUACUUGAUUGAUACAUUUUCUUACACAUAUGUAACAAAAAUAACAAAGAAGGUGGGAGUAGUGGACUCAGUGGGGUCCAGAUCAG